UACGUAUGGGGCAAGCGUUAUCCGGAUUUAUUGGGCGUAAAGCGCGCGUAGGCGGCUUGUUAAGUCAGGUGUGAAAUCCGGGGGCUCAACCCGCGGCUUGCAUCUGAAACUGGCAGGCUUGAGUCUGGUAGAGGAAAGUGGAAUUCCUGGUGUAGCGGUGAAAUGCGCAGAUAUCAGGAGGAACACCAGUGGCGAAGGCGGCUUUCUGGGCCACGACUGACGCUGAGGCGCGAAAGCUAGGGGAGCGAACAGGAUUAGAUACCCUGGUAGUCCUAGCCGUAAACGAUGGGCACUAGGUGUGGGGGGUCAUCGACUCCCUCCGUGCCGAAGCUAACGCAUUAAGUGCCCCGCCUGGGGAGUACGGCCGCAAGGCUAAA
rnacentral:rRNA from 1 species